CGGCUUACCAACCCGAUGCAAACUGCGAAUACCGGAGAAUGUUAUCACGGGAGACACACGGCGGGUGCUAACGUCCGUCGUGAAGAGGGAAACAACCCAGACCGCCAGCUAAGGUCCCAAAGUCAUGGUUAAGUGGGAAACGAUGUGGGAAGGCCCAGACAGCCAGGAUGUUGGCUUAGAAGCAGCCAUCAUUUAAAGAAAGCGUAAUAGCUCACUGGUCGAGUCGGCCUGCGCGGAAGAUGUAACGGGGCUAAACCAUGCACCGAAGCUGCGGCAGCGAACGUAUCACCCAAGACAACUUUACGGAGUUGACGAUUGACGGAGCGAAGCGACGUCAAAGCGUUCAUUAAAGUCGAGUUGGCUUAGGGAUACGUUCGUUGGGUAGGGGAGCGUUCUGUAAGCCUGUGAAGGUGUGUCGUGAGGCAUGCUGGAGGUAUCAGAAGUGCGAAUGCUGACAUAAGUAACGAUAAAGCGGGUGAAAAGCCCGCUCGCCGGAAGACCAAGGGUUCCUGUCCAACGUUAAUCGGGGCAGGGUGAGUCGACCCCUAAGGCGAGGCCGAAAGGCGUAGUCGAUGGGAAACGGGUUAAUAUUCCCGUACUUGGUGUUACUGCGAAGGGGGGACGGAGAAGGCUAUGUUGGCCGGGCGACGGUUGUCCCGGUUUAAGCGUGUAGGUGUGUGUUCCAGGUAAAUCCGGUUCACUUUAACACUGAGGCGUGACGACGAGGCACUACGGUGCUGAAGCAACAAAUGCCCUGCUUCCAGGAAAAGCCUCUAAGCAUCAGGUAACACGAAAUCGUACCCCAAACCGACACAGGUGGUCAGGUAGAGAAUACCAAGGCGCUUGAGAGAACUCGGGUGAAGGAACUAGGCAAAAUGGUGCCGUAACUUCGGGAGAAGGCACGCUGACACGUAGGUGAAGUGAUUUACUCAUGGAGCUGAAGUCAGUCGAAGAUACCAGCUGGCUGCAACUGUUUAUUAAAAACACAGCACUGUGCAAACACGAAAGUGGACGUAUACGGUGUGACGCCUGCCCGGUGCCGGAAGGUUAAUUGAUGGGGUCAGCGCAAGCGAAGCUCCUGAUCGAAGCCCCGGUAAACGGCGGCCGUAACUAUAACGGUCCUAAGGUAGCGAAAUUCCUUGUCGGGUAAGUUCCGACCUGCACGAAUGGCGUAAUGAUGGCCAGGCUGUCUCCACCCGAGACUCAGUGAAAUUGAACUCGCUGUGAAGAUGCAGUGUACCCGCGGCAAGACGGAAAGACCCCGUGAACCUUUACUAUAGCUUGACACUGAACAUUGAGCCUUGAUGUGUAGGAUAGGUGGGAGGCUUUGAAGUGUGGACGCCAGUCUGCAUGGAGCCGACCUUGAAAUACCACCCUUUAAUGUUUGAUGUUCUAACGUGGACCCGUAAUCCGGGUUGCGGACAGUGUCUGGUGGGUAGUUUGACUGGGGCGGUCUCCUCCUAAAGAGUAACGGAGGAGCACGAAGGUUGGCUAAUCCUGGUCGGACAUCAGGAGGUUAGUGCAAUGGCAUAAGCCAGCUUGACUGCGAGCGUGACGGCGCGAGCAGGUGCGAAAGCAGGUCAUAGUGAUCCGGUGGUUCUGAAUGGAAGGGCCAUCGCUCAACGGAUAAAAGGUACUCCGGGGAUAACAGGCUGAUACCGCCCAAGAGUUCAUAUCGACGGCGGUGUUUGGCACCUCGAUGUCGGCUCAUCACAUCCUGGGGCUGAAGUAGGUCCCAAGGGUAUGGCUGUUCGCCAUUUAAAGUGGUACGCGAGCUGGGUUUAGAACGUCGUGAGACAGUUCGGUCCCUAUCUGCCGUGGGCGCUGGAGAACUGAGGGGGGCUGCUCCUAGUACGAGAGGACCGGAGUGGACGCAUCACUGGUGUUCGGGUUGUCAUGCCAAUGGCACUGCCCGGUAGCUAAAUGCGGAAGAGAUAAGUGCUGAAAGCAUCUAAGCACGAAACUUGCCCCGA
rnacentral:rRNA from 1 species